rnacentral:tRNA from 1 species
GGUCUUUUAACUCAGUGGUAGAGUGCGGGAUUGCAGUUUAACGAAUAUCCUGAAGUCACUGGUUCGAUCCCGGUAGAGACCU